UGGGGAAUAUUGCACAAUGGGCGAAAGCCUGAUGCAGCAACGCCGCGUGAGUGAUGACGGUCUUCGGAUUGUAAAGCUCUGUCUUUGGGGACGAUAAUGACGGUACCCAAGGAGGAAGCCACGGCUAACUACGUGCCAGCAGCCGCGGUAAUACGUAGGUGGCAAGCGUUGUCCGGAUUUACUGGGCGUAAAGGGUGCGUAGGCGGACCUUUAAGUGAGAUGUGAAAUCCCCGAGCUUAACUUGGGGGCUGCAUUUCAAACUGGAGGUCUAGAGUGCAGGAGAGGAGAGUGGAAUUCCUAGUGUAGCGGUGAAAUGCGUAGAGAUUGGGAGGAACACCAGUGGCGAAGGCGGGUAACUGGACCGCAACUGACGCUGAGGCGCGAAAGUGUGGGGAGCAAACAG
rnacentral:rRNA from 1 species